UACGUAGGGUGCAAGCGUUAAUCGGAAUUACUGGGCGUAAAGCGUGCGCAGGCGGUUAUGUAAGACAGAUGUGAAAUGCCCGGGCUUAACCUGGGAACUGCAUUUGUGACUGCAUGGCUAGAGUUUGGCAGAGGGGGGUAGAAUUCCACGUGUAGCAGUGAAAUGCGUAGAUAUGUGGAGGAACACCGAUGGCGAAGGCGGCUCUCUGGGACGGUACUGACGCUGAGGCACGAAAGCCAGGGGAGCAAACGGG
rnacentral:rRNA from 1 species